rnacentral:rRNA from 1 species
AUACGGAGGGUGCAAGCGUUAAUCGGAAUUACUGGGCGUAAAGCGUGCGUAGGUGGUUUGUUAAGUCAGAUGUGAAAGCCCCGGGCUCAACCUGGGAACUGCAUUUGAAACUGGCAUACUAGAGUAUAGGAGAGGAAAGUGGAAUUUCAGGUGUAGCGGUGAAAUGCGUAGAUAUCUGAAGGAACAUCAAUGGCGAAGGCAGCUUUCUGGACUAAUACUGACACUGAGGUACGAAAGCGUGGGUAGCAAACAGGAGUAGAAACCCUAGUAGUCC